rnacentral:rRNA from 1 species
AUUGAACGCUGGCGGCAGGCCUAACACAUGCAAGUCGAACGAGUGGCGGACGGGUGAGUAAUGUUUGGGAAACUGCCCGAUGGAGGGGGAUAACUACGGGAAACGGUAGCUAAUACCGCUUACCAUCGGAUGUGCCCAGAUGGGAUUAGGUAGUUGGUGGGGUAACGGCUCACCAAGCCGACGAUCACUAGCUGGUCUGAGAGGAUGACCAGCAAAACUGGAACUGAGACACGGCCCAGACUCCUACGGGAGGCAGCAGUGGGGAAUAUUGCGCAAUGGGGGCAACCCUGACGCAGCCAUGCCGCGUGAAUGAAGAAGGCCUUCGGGUUGUAAAGUUCUUUCGGUGGCGAGGCGUUAACUACAGAAGAAGCACCGGCUAACUCCGUGCCAGCAGCCGCGGUAAUUC